rnacentral:tRNA from 1 species
GCCGCGAUGGUGGAAUUGGUAGACACGAGGGACUUAAAAUCCCUUGGCCAGAAAUGGCUGUACGGGUUCGAGUCCCGUUCGCGGCACUA